rnacentral:lncRNA from 1 species
UUAUCUCUAAUUUAUAAUAAAUAAAUUAUUACAUUUGUUUUCAUAAUUACAAACAAUAAACGAGCAAAAACAAGAAUUACCUUAAUUAUGAUAACUGAAACUAGUAAAAUCGUAUCAGAACGUACUUAACAAGAAUAAUGGAAACUGGAUCGUCCCAAAUCAACGACAUUAAGAAGACAGCGAUGUUUCGAAAGGACUGUUUAAUCAUCUCACGAAAUUUCAAGGAUAAUAAUUCGAAGCACAUGCCUUCCGCUAAUGGGGUCGGUGUGACAAAUCUUUAACGGCAUAAACAUAAGAAUUAUGAAAUUGUUGAUUUGGUUAAUCGUAUUUACAUUGUUAAUAUAUAAUAAACAACGACCGAUUCCUUUGGUUCUUACGCUUGCGAUACAAUGAUUAGAAAAAUUUUACGCAUACGUUACUACGAUUAAGGACACCUGUAGCCGUGAUAUCGGCCAUCCAUUGGUUCCUUCGCUAUUCGAUAAAUGAAUAAAAUAUCAAGACGUUUAAGCGAUCGAUAAAAUGAAUACAAACAUUAUUGCUUUCAAGAUUCCAUUUGUUCUUCAUUUACACAGCAAGCAAAGAAACGUGCAAUUACGCAACAUUAAUAUAACAUUGACAUUUCUACGUUAAACGCAAUUACAUGAAAAUUAUAUUUAAUCAUCUAUCUUUCGAGCUUUACCUUGUGUUUUCCCUCGUAAAAUGUUUCGAUGUCAAAUAAUAUACAUAUUAAGAAAUACACAAAAAUAUUCAAAAUUAUAAUUUUAACGAAUAGCAAUUGCUCUUUAAAUAUAACGAAUUUAAAAUUGUCGAGAAAAUGAUCGAAAAUAUUUCAAUCAAAGGAAAAAAAAAAAAAAGAAGAUAGUUCCAUGGUAUUACUCAACUUGUAGAACUUGUAUAAACGUCAGAACACGUGGUCGAAACGAGUCGAGGUGUGAAAUUGUAUUUUUUUAGUGAUGCACGUCUGCAUCAAAUCGUCGUGAAUCGAUUCCAUCAUUUCAUGAUGAUACGCCAGCGACGUAUACUCGUAUAUAUCGAUAUAUCUAACCCAACUGAUUAAGGGUUUCUCGAAAUUUCUUCAAGCGAUACGUGUACGCUUUGAAUUAAAUGUGGAUCUCCUUUGCACCGCGUCUCCAUUGCUCGUUUCUCAAAAUCAAUAAUGAAAUUGGUCAUUUUUGCGAUUCGAUAAAUUGCGAUUCGAUAAGUUGCGAUCUUCGCGAUAGAACGUCGUGAAGUUGGUCAAAUUCGUUGAUGCUAUAUCUAUACAAGUUCGAUGUAUCGUACUCGAAAGAGUUACUUGUCCUUACAAUACGAAGAAAGAAAAGGAUACAAUAUAUCGAGAAUACUGGCGAUACAUCCUCUUUGGACUUCGCAUUGAUGUUUCGACACGAGUGAAUCCGUGUUUCACUCGAGUGGUUUCGAUUGACGGCAAAGCAAGCGCGAUUGACGAUAAACUGAACGUAUUACUCGGAUAAUUAAUUAACUCUUAAGCUAAUGAAAUGAAACGGUUGCUAGAUAAUUAGCGCAAUGAAAUCGUGGUAUUAAAAAAUGCAAAACACGAUCAUAUUUUAAUUUCGAUCUGUUGCGGUUGAAUGACCAAAUAGGAAGAAACGACAUCAAUCGUCCAAGGAGGAAGAAAUUAAUUUCUCGUUUCAAACAGUUUUAGAAUUUUUUUUUUUUUAGAUCAUUUAAGAGGAUAAGAAUCGCGGUUUGGCCACAAGAUUUAUUACAAGGAUUUCAAUACCGUGCUCCUAUCGUAAACGACAUAACAAUAAUCAAUACUGAAAUAAUGUAACGUAUGUGCCGUAUAUUUUCUAUCUCUUAUUUUUAUUUUAAUUCUAAAUUCAUUUCAUUUUUUUUUUUAUCCGUUUCGAGAUACAUUUGAUCGAUACGUUUUUUUAUAAAUGACGCAAUGGAGAUGCGGUAAUUGCGUUGUUACACGAUUCGUUAAUCGUUUAAACUACGUGUGUACGUAAUCUAUCAGUCAACUAUAGUUUUCAGGCAGAGAUAUUCUACUUGCAAGGUAACUUGUUAUUACUUUUGCUCGAUAUCUUUUGUUCUUAAUUAAUGUAAUUAAUGUACGCAUCACUUGUGACAAAUGCAUCGAACAAUUAAAAUUAUUACCAAAAAUAAAAAGAUAGGAAAUUUUUAGAAA